rnacentral:lncRNA from 1 species
AAUCGCAUCCAGUAAAAUCAGCAUUUGAAUAGCUAAUUAGAUUGAUAGAGGAUUGUUUAGAGUAUCAUAAUCCUACAUUAUAUAUUUGAAUAUAUAUCUUAACAUAUUUUAAAUAGCAAUUAAAUAUGAUUUUUUAGGAUUUGAUUAGAAUCCAGAACAUAUGCAUACAUUAAACAUAAUAUCUAGCCUAUUAUAACUUAAGUAAAUUAAGUAAAAAUCUUAUCAUGCCUCUAUAGAGUUUAGGGUCAAUACAUAUACCACUUUCAUCUUGAUCA